UGGCAAAUGCGAACAUGAACUGUUG
rnacentral:piRNA from 1 species